rnacentral:rRNA from 1 species
UUAAGCGACUAAGCGUACACGGUGGAUGCCCUGGCAGUCAGAGGCGAUGAAGGACGUGCUAAUCUGCGAUAAGCGUCGGUAAGGUGAUAUGAACCGUUAUAACCGGCGAUUUCCGAAUGGGGAAACCCAGUGUGUUUCGACACACUAUCAUUAACUGAAUCCAUAGGUUAAUGAGGCGAACCGGGGGAACUGAAACAUCUAAGUACCCCGAGGAAAAGAAAUCAACCGAGAUUCCCCCAGUAGCGGCGAGCGAACGGGGAGGAGCCCAGAGCCUGAAUCAGUGUGUGUGUUAGUGGAAGCGUCUGGAAAGGCGCGCGAUACAGGGUGACAGCCCCGUACACAAAAAUGCACAUGCUGUGAGCUCGAUGAGUAGGGCGGGACACGUGGUAUCCUGUCUGAAUAUGGGGGGACCAUCCUCCAAGGCUAAAUACUCCUGACUGACCGAUAGUGAACCAGUACCGUGAGGGAAAGGCGAAAAGAACCCCGGCGAGGGGAGUGAAAAAGAACCUGAAACCGUGUACGUACAAGCAGUGGGAGCACGCUUAGGCGUGUGACUGCGUACCUUUUGUAUAAUGGGUCAGCGACUUAUAUUCUGUAGCAAGGUUAACCGAAUAGGGGAGCCGAAGGGAAACCGAGUCUUAACUGGGCGUUAAGUUGCAGGGUAUAGACCCGAAACCCGGUGAUCUAGCCAUGGGCAGGUUGAAGGUUGGGUAACACUAACUGGAGGACCGAACCGACUAAUGUUGAAAAAUUAGCGGAUGACUUGUGGCUGGGGGUGAAAGGCCAAUCAAACCGGGAGAUAGCUGGUUCUCCCCGAAAGCUAUUUAGGUAGCGCCUCGUGAAUUCAUCUCCGGGGGUAGAGCACUGUUUCGGCAAGGGGGUCAUCCCGACUUACCAACCCGAUGCAAACUGCGAAUACCGGAGAAUGUUAUCACGGGAGACACACGGCGGGUGCUAACGUCCGUCGUGAAGAGGGAAACAACCCAGACCGCCAGCUAAGGUCCCAAAGUCAUGGUUAAGUGGGAAACGAUGUGGGAAGGCCCAGACAGCCAGGAUGUUGGCUUAGAAGCAGCCAUCAUUUAAAGAAAGCGUAAUAGCUCACUGGUCGAGUCGGCCUGCGCGGAAGAUGUAACGGGGCUAAACCAUGCACCGAAGCUGCGGCAGCGACGCUUAUGCGUUGUUGGGUAGGGGAGCGUUCUGUAAGCCUGCGAAGGUGUGCUGUGAGGCAUGCUGGAGGUAUCAGAAGUGCGAAUGCUGACAUAAGUAACGAUAAAGCGGGUGAAAAGCCCGCUCGCCGGAAGACCAAGGGUUCCUGUCCAACGUUAAUCGGGGCAGGGUGAGUCGACCCCUAAGGCGAGGCCGAAAGGCGUAGUCGAUGGGAAACAGGUUAAUAUUCCUGUACUUGGUGUUACUGCGAAGGGGGGACGGAGAAGGCUAUGUUGGCCGGGCGACGGUUGUCCCGGUUUAAGCGUGUAGGCUGGUUUUCCAGGCAAAUCCGGAAAAUCAAGGCUGAGGCGUGAUGACGAGGCACUACGGUGCUGAAGCAACAAAUGCCCUGCUUCCAGGAAAAGCCUCUAAGCAUCAGGUAACAUCAAAUCGUACCCCAAACCGACACAGGUGGUCAGGUAGAGAAUACCAAGGCGCUUGAGAGAACUCGGGUGAAGGAACUAGGCAAAAUGGUGCCGUAACUUCGGGAGAAGGCACGCUGAUAUGUAGGUGAGGUCCCUCGCGGAUGGAGCUGAAAUCAGUCGAAGAUACCAGCUGGCUGCAACUGUUUAUUAAAAACACAGCACUGUGCAAACACGAAAGUGGACGUAUACGGUGUGACGCCUGCCCGGUGCCGGAAGGUUAAUUGAUGGGGUUAGCCGCAAGGCGAAGCUCUUGAUCGAAGCCCCGGUAAACGGCGGCCGUAACUAUAACGGUCCUAAGGUAGCGAAAUUCCUUGUCGGGUAAGUUCCGACCUGCACGAAUGGCGUAAUGAUGGCCAGGCUGUCUCCACCCGAGACUCAGUGAAAUUGAACUCGCUGUGAAGAUGCAGUGUACCCGCGGCAAGACGGAAAGACCCCGUGAACCUUUACUAUAGCUUGACACUGAACAUUGAGCCUUGAUGUGUAGGAUAGGUGGGAGGCUUAGAAGUGUGGACGCCAGUCUGCAUGGAGCCGACCUUGAAAUACCACCCUUUAAUGUUUGAUGUUCUAACGUUGACCCGUAAUCCGGGUUGCGGACAGUGUCUGGUGGGUAGUUUGACUGGGGCGGUCUCCUCCUAAAGAGUAACGGAGGAGCACGAAGGUUGGCUAAUCCUGGUCGGACAUCAGGAGGUUAGUGCAAUGGCAUAAGCCAGCUUGACUGCGAGCGUGACGGCGCGAGCAGGUGCGAAAGCAGGUCAUAGUGAUCCGGUGGUUCUGAAUGGAAGGGCCAUCGCUCAACGGAUAAAAGGUACUCCGGGGAUAACAGGCUGAUACCGCCCAAGAGUUCAUAUCGACGGCGGUGUUUGGCACCUCGAUGUCGGCUCAUCACAUCCUGGGGCUGAAGUAGGUCCCAAGGGUAUGGCUGUUCGCCAUUUAAAGUGGUACGCGAGCUGGGUUUAGAACGUCGUGAGACAGUUCGGUCCCUAUCUGCCGUGGGCGCUGGAGAACUGAGGGGGGCUGCUCCUAGUACGAGAGGACCGGAGUGGACGCAUCACUGGUGUUCGGGUUGUCAUGCCAAUGGCACUGCCCGGUAGCUAAAUGCGGAAGAGAUAAGUGCUGAAAGCAUCUAAGCACGAAACUUGCCCC